rnacentral:rRNA from 1 species
UACGGAGGUAGCAAGCGUUGUUCGGAUUUACUGGGUGUAAAGGUCAUGUAGGCGUCUUACUAAGUCGGGCGUGAAAUCCCUUGGCUCAACCAAGGAAUUGCACUCGAUACUGGUAAGAUUGAGUACGGGAGAGGAAAGCGGAAUUCCGGAAGUAAGGGUGAAAUCUGUAGAUAUCCGGAAGAACACCAUUAGCGAAGGCGGCUUUCUGGCCCGAUACUGACGCUGAAAUGAGAAAGCUAGGGUAGCAAACAGGAUUAGAUACCCUCGUA